UUUUUUUUGUCAUCUGAUAAUGCAGGUACCUACAUACAUUGCUUGAUUUCAUCUUUGGCUUUGUUGUUGAUGACUUUUAAUUUAUUACUUAUUAAUUUAAUUAUUAUGUAGUACUUUAUGUAUGAGUUUAACUUUUUUUUUGGUAUUAGGCAUGGUGCAUUGUAAUUAUUAUUAUGAGUCAAUGUUAUUAAUUGCUAAUCCUGUCAGUAGGAUUAUACAAUUAAUCAGAACUUCACUUGUAUUUUUGUUUAGUUUUUGCACACCUAACCCCUUAAGUUAGAAGGGUUGUUGAAUUAUUAUAUAUUUAUAUACUUAUUUGGACAGGUAAGCUCAUACAAGUAGGUACUCUUGUUUAAUAUGGAUAUUAUUAUGGAACUGUAUGUUAUGCACUACUUAUCUCAGGUUAUGUGUUAUAUUAUUUGGAAUAUUUGAUUACUUACUAAUUUUUUUUUGAUCAUAUUUAUAUCUUAUUAUUGAAUUUGCCAUAUUGGAAAGAUGUGGUUUUUAAUUUGUUAUUGGGUUACUCUAUUAACAUUAUUUGUCUCCAAUAUCUUAAACACUUUAUAAUAAUUUAUAUCCUUCUAUCCUACACAGUAUGAUUCUGGAAUUAGUUUGGAAUUUUGAUGUAAGUAUGUAUGAAUUCUUGAGUCUUUCAUAUUUCUUCUUAGAAACUACUUAGUCUGUUGAUGCUCAAAGUUGGUGAAUACGUGGGUUCGAAAUUCAGCAACUGAUCACUGCUGUCCGGUUUCGUAAUCUAUGUCCUCAUGGCAGAGUAGGCAGAUGUCUUUUCAUCAUUACAUUUCCUAAACAUUUUUCUGUAAUCAGUUUACUUAUUUCAGUUUUUUACAAUUUAAUAGGGAAGUAUUUAGUUCAUAUUAGGCCUUUUGCUUCAUAGUAUGUUUGUACUUUGAGUUGAUGAGUAAACAUGGAUAAAUAUCUUGCGCACUUGUUUAUAAAUCAAUGCUUAGGCCAUCCCUAUACAUAGUAGGUUCGUUAAGUCAGUAUUUGGAGUGUUUAGACAGAUGAGUUGUUCAUUUGAAUAUAUUCCCACUUCUUUUCGUAGGCAUUAGUUUUGUUAUUCAGAUUCUGGAAUAUUUCCUGAAUAAUUCUAUGUACGUAUGUGAGAACGCAUGAAUUUGCAGUUUUAUUUAAAAUUGUGCUCGUUCUCGUCAAUUUUUUUCCCUAUCACUUAUCAUAUUUUUUUUUUUCUUCCUAUUAUUUAUCAUAGUGCCAUAGACCUUGUAAGUUCACUAUUCAUUCUGUUUUCUUUCUUACUUAUUCUUAUAUUAGUACCUUAUCUGUGUCUGGUUAUUCUCAUACAUCUGUUGUAGCAACAUGCUAUAGUUCGCGAAUACCAGCAUGAAUUAAGUUAUGUAUUUUCUAGAAUACUUUAGUCAAUACACUUUAGGUAUUUAUCUUACCUUUGAUUUAGUUUGGUUACAUCUCUGUUACUUAGUCUGUUAGUAAUUUUUUUCUGACUUAUUUUGGAUUACUUAGUUCAGAUAGGUUCAUAUUACCGGAUGAGGGUGUAUGUAGACCUAAUUUAUUUAUUUUGUUCAGUAUUAGUUACCAUUGGAUCCAAUAAUUUAGUUUAUUUAGUAUUAGUAAGAAUUGGUCCAUAAAUUUGCCUGAUCGUUCUUCUUUGGAUAUACUCCUAUAUAAAUCUGGUGUCCAUUGAUAGUCCGAUUCUGGAUAAGUGUCCGAUUCUUCAUUUAUUUUGUGUAUUUAGUUGGAUAGGUUCGUAUUACCGGAUGUGGGUGUACGUAGACCUGAUCUGUUAUGUGGUUUAGUAUUGGUGUGAAUUGGUCCAUAAAUUUGCCUGGUCGUUCUUCUUUGGAUAUGCCUUUUAUGAAUCUGGUGUCCACUGAUAGUUCGACUUUGGAUUAAGUGUCCGAUUCCACAUUUAUUUUGGUUAUUGAGUUUUGGAUUCCUUUGGUAUGUUUAUUAUUGGUAUUAUUUGACAUUAGUGAGAAUUUUUCCAUAAAUCUUCCUGAUUGUUCUUCUCUGGAUAUACUAUUAUGAAUCUGGUGUCCAUUGUUAGUUCAGUUUUGGAUAAAGUGUUCAAUUCUUUACCUAUUUUAGUUACUGAUUUUUUUUAUUCACUUUGGUACAUUUACUUUUGAUAUGGUUCGAAUUGGCUCACACCUUUUCCUGGUUGUUCCGUUCUUGGAUAUACCCUUUAUAAAUCUGAUGUCCAUGGAUAGUUCAAUUUUGGUUUUAGUGCCCAACUCGACACUCAGUUAUUAUGAACUUAAGUACAAUAUUUAGUUUUGUUUUGACUUUUGAGCAAUAUAUGUUAAUAUUUGGUAGCAGAGAGUAACAUAGUAACAUUUUAGUAUGAGUUUGAGUCAUGUAUUGAUUUAUUUUUCCUUGACCAUUAGUUUAUAUUUAGAAGUAAUCUUGCGAAUCAACGUGGAUUGUUAGACUAUUGUAAAUUUAGUUGUUAAUAUUUUGAAGUUUAAAAAAAAAAAAAAUUUUUUUUGGUUAAAAAAUUUUUUUUUUCCCGAGUAGGAGGGGAUUGUAACGGUCCACCCGUUAUAUUAUCAUUUUUAGCGCUGUAAUUAUUUUUAAAAAAAAUAAUUAUUUUCUCUUGACCUCCCAUUUAAAUUCUUUAAUUUAUCGUAAAGGACUUCUCAUGUGACGUCACACUGUACGGAACAUAGUUGUUGAACCGUUCCUUGUCGUUUAAUUCGUGUUCCGUGAGAGUUUGACGUUUUCCUCGCUGACUGUGGGAGGAAUGAGAGGCACUUGGCCGGUGGCUGCGAGGUUGACAGGUUGGUGUUGGUGGUUGAUACCGUAAAUGGCGGUUAAUUUCUUCGAAAUUAAUUUUUAUUUCAACUAAGUUUGGAAGUAUAGUAAAAAGUUACCACCACUUGUUUCCUGGAGUACGGGUUUCCUGGAGUAAGGAUGGGAGUACCAUCAGUGGAAGAGGAAUAAAAAAUUAACCGCCAUUUGGAAGAAAACUAACCCUCAUGUGAUGUCGUACCCACCUUGACUACCUAGGGAAGCCACCUUGACCUUAUUGCAGCUACCGCCAAGUCAAACUGGGAGUAUGUUUUGGGAACAAGCUUUUUGGGGGACAUUCCAGCUCCUUUUCGUCCUGCCACCUGGGCCUACGGGGGGGCAUGGAGGUGCAUCAUAGUGAUGCUCAUUUUCUAGGAUGCAACCGCAACCUCGUUUGGGAACAUUUAGUGAGGAGUUUUAGUAACUAUUGGUUUUUUUUAUAUUUCAGACUAUCUGUUAAAUACACUAUGUUUUUUUUCCAGAUUUAGGUUACCUCUGUUUUUUUUUUGACAUAUGUAUUUGUAUAUUAGAUUAUUUGGUUCCCAAACUUUGUAUCUACGGUAACUUCUUGUGCACAGGAAUAAGCCUAGAGAAAAUUAGGUUUUUAAUACUUUAUUAUUGCUUUGAUAUUGGUUUAUGUAAUUCGGGUAAAUUUAUUUUGUAACAUUACUUGCUUGUUUCCCAAAUAUUGUAUUUAUUCGCUUUAUUUCGUUUGUUCGGUUACUUCGUCGUUACUUUAUUUCAUUGCAUUUGCUCGGUUAAUUUAGGUCAUUUUGUCGGUAUUUUUCUUAACUUCACUUCUAUAACGUUUAUUCAUUUGUAUAUUUAAUUUUGCUUUAUUCAGUAUUGUAUUUUCUCUUAGUGAGGCUUGGGCCUAUUUAUUUGUAUUAUUUUCAUCUUCGUCGGUUUCCUUUAGUUGUACGUAGCAGGCGUACUAUAACCAUUUGGUAGAAGACUUAUGUAAUUUUGUACCCUAUAUGUUAGUAAGAGGUACUUAUAUUUAAGUUGUAACAGAUAACAUUAUUGUUGUUAUCUUUAAAAUAUAUAUAUCUUCUUGUAUAACUUAUGUCAUUUUAGAGUCACAGCAUAAUAUGAACUUGCUUAACUCAGAGAUUGUUAAAAAUCUGGUAGUUAUUUUUAAUAAAUAUGUUUAUUUAUUUUGUA
rnacentral:lncRNA from 1 species